ensembl:misc_RNA 7SK 7SK RNA
GGAUGUGAGGGCAGUCUGGCUGCAACAUCUGUCACCCCAUUGAUAGCUGGGGUUGAUUCAGCUAAUCUAACUGGCUAGGCAGGUGUCUCACUCCUCCCUCACCACUCCAUGUGCUUUCCUCCUGAAGCUGCAUGCUAGGAAGAGGAUGAUUUCCUCCAUAGAGGAGGACCAUUCUUCAGUCAAGGACAUAGGAGUAGCUGCACUCCCCUGCUAGAACCUCCAAACAAGCUCUCGUGGUCCAUUUGUAGGAGAACGUAGGGUAGUCAAGCUCCCAGGACUCCAACUACAUUCAAAUGAGGUGCUGCAUGUGGCAGUCUACCUUUCUUU